rnacentral:lncRNA from 1 species
AAAUCAAACACCCCCCACAUCAAAACCUACACUUGGCUCAUUCAGAUUGAAAAAACACUCUGGUUGUGGAGAUGGCACAGGCAAUGGCAUCAAUGGCUGGUUUACGUGGCUCUUCACAGGCUGUCCUGGACGGCAGCCUUCAACUCAGUGGCCAAACCCGCUUCAACAUUCCUAGCAACAACCGAGUGGCUGUGGGUAGGUCUGGUUUCACUGUCAGAGCUCAUCAGACACCGGCCGAGCCUGAGACUGGACGCAGAGCCAUGUUGGGUCUUGUUGCUGCUGGUUUGGCCACUGGCUCCUUUGUUCAAGCUGUGCUUGCCGAUGCCAGAAGCAUCAAGGUUGGCCCACCUCCCCCUCCCUCUGGUGGACUGCGUAAGUCAUCCAUUCUUUUCAAUUUAUACAAAUUUAAUCAACAUUGUUUUGUAGGCCAUGGUCCAUAAAGAACUUGAGAACUGGAAUUUUAGCUGGAAAAAUGGAAUCAUUAUAUAUUUUAUAAAUGUUCAAAUUUUGUAAUUUGAUGAUGAAAUCGGCAUGUCGGCAGCUGGAACUCUGAACUCUGAUGAGCCAAGAGACCUUGUUCUGCCAUACAAAGACAGGUUCUUCCUCCAACCAGUUACUCCAGCUCAGGCAGCACAGAGAGCAAAGGAAUCAGCCAAGGACAUUCUGGGUGUCAAGAACUUGAUUGACAAAAAAGCCUGGCCUUAUGUCAUGAAUGAUCUCCGUCUCAAGGCCGAGUAUCUCCGCUAUGACCUCAACACCGUCAUUGCUGCCAAGUCCAAAGAUGAGAAGAAAACUCUCAAGGACCUCACCAAGAAGCUCUUCAGUACCAUCGAUGAUGUAUGUUUUUGAAGUUUUGCUUUAGGUUUACCUGCAUAAUUGCUAGCAUCAUUUAACAUGGUAAAUUAUCAUGAAUUUAUGAUAUAUUUUUUCCUUUUGGUUUUUCUUACAGCUUGACCAUGCAGCCAAGAUCAAAAGCACCCCUGAAGCAGAGAAAUCUUACGCUCAGACCAUAUCUAGUCUGAAUGAUGUUCUUGCCAAACUGGGCUAAGAGAAUGCUUAAUUGUAUUUUGAUGUAAGAUAGCUUUGUUCAUCGUUUGUAGACACACUUUCAUUUCUAUGCUAUCUGAAGGAACCUUUACCACUUAACGAAAUUGAAACUUGUUUAAACUAAUAACCAAUCAAUUUAAGCUUUGUUGGUAAACAAGGCACACUUUUUGCCUAGCUUCCUUGCAGUCGGAAUGUUUAGACUGAACUGUUUCCCCUUAGAUUCCAUUAAAGUUCACAAAAGUUGGUAAGAAAAUGACCCUCCAAGCUUAAUUUGUAAACAAGUUAUCAUUACUUAACUCAUCAGUUCAUAGGCACAGAAGAAGAACCACCAAAUAUCACUCACAGUUGAAGUGUUGCAGUUCAAGUAGAGAGAACAGGCGCAUCCCAAAAUCAUACAAUUCAUUUUGAUCCCAAAACAGAGCUAAUAUAAAAUACCAACUGCAAAACAAAGAUGAUUAUCAAAGUUUCAGUUCCAAAAUUCAAUUCAUCAUGUAACUUUGAGGUUCGAUACCAAAAGCUAAAGCUGCAGAAAACCACUGACUAGAAAACAGAUCAAUAUUACCUCCGCCACUAACAUGAAAGUAGUUGGCUGCAAGAGGUAAAAAAAAACCACUUGCUUUUAGAUACUCGUUCAGACUAGAUUAACUAAAAUGAAAGAUAAAAUAGCUAUGGUAAAACCAUGGCACUACUCUGCAGGCAUUUUCAUCUUAUAACGACAGAAAUUAUUCGUCUUAGCAAGCUUCACGAGUUCCUUUGCAUCUUCAAUGUUGGAGGCUUUGACCAAUUCAUCCACCACUCGCUGUAACAAUGCAGCAUCAACCAAUUUCUUCCUACCAAAAAUCUCCUUGCACAGCUCAAUGGCAAAACUCAAAUCACCCUUCUCACAAAGGAAUGGAACUAACAUCGUAAAAGUCAGCUUAUCUGGUGCACAUUCAUUUUUCCCUAUCUGAUUAUACCACUCUUUAGCUUCUUCCAAUUUUCCCUCAUUAACAAAUCCUCUAAUCAUAUAAUUGAAGGUAAACACAUCAAGCUUAAGUCCUUUACUCCUCAUUUCUUCAACCAAGUUAACUGCCUCUUUCAUUUUCUUUUCAGUUGAAAAUCCAAGCAACUUAGCAUUAUAACUCCUAAUAUCAGGCUCCACAUUUUUCUCCACCAUUUUACCCCAUAUCUUCUCCCCAUCAUCAAACCUUCCAUUCUUAAAAAUCUCGUAUAAAAGCGUGUUAAAAGUAAUCACAUCCGGCUGCACACCCUUCUUCUCCAUCUCAUCAAGCAUCAAUCUAGCAGAAUCUAAAGAACCCAUCUCACAGAAAGCCUUUAUAACCGUAUUAUAAGAAACCAAAUCUGGCUCAACUGACAACUUUUCCGGCAGCUCCUUGAAAAACCCAUUAACCUUAUCAAACUUUUUGGCAUUCACGCAAGCUCCCAUAAGAGCAUUGAAAGACAGCAAUCCUCUAUUCGGCAUUUCAUCAAACACCUUGUAAGCUUGCUCAAACAUGCCCGAUUUACCGUACAAAUGGAUUAAUCUAGCAGCAAAGCCUUCUUUGGAAAUAUCUUGGUAUUUCUUUUGAUCUUCCAGGACUUCUUCGAUCCAUUGGAAGCGCCCAGCUGAAGCAAGGCGACGAACAAUAUCUUCAUAGAUGCCGCUUCGUCGCGGAAGCGGCUGUACUCGCAAGAUUUCUUGAAUUUUUCAACGAGACGCUUGAGGUCCCGCUCUUUGUAGAGAUCCUCCGAGAAUUUCCGAACGGAGUGGGGCUGUGGGUUUGGGGUUGUGGAGAAGGUGCGGCGGAGGACGCGAGUUAGAGAUGACAUUUUUAGGGGUUUAAGGACGCGUGUAGCUGUACGAGUGUAGAAUGAGGGUUUUAGCUUAAGAAGCUUCGGUUUUAUUGUUGGUUUUCCUUUUAGUUUUUUUUUAAAAUAAAAAAAAAAACACUUAGUCAAGCAGCCAUUUUAUCUAAAAAGGCCUUUAAAAAAUUUAAUUACGGAAAUAGGCCGUUUAUUGGUUUAUUUACCGGAUUAGGCCAUUUUUCACAAAAACGCGUCCACAUAAGUGCGUUUUCAGGGUACGUGUCAGCAAAACGCUCCCUUAGAGAAGCAUUUUGCCCGUUUUUUAAGGUUAUGAUUUUUUAUUAUUUAAUUAAUUUAGGGUUAGGGUUUUUUAGAAUUUAGAGUUAGGUUUUUUAAGUUAUGGUUUUUUAGGGUUUUAGGAUUUAGGAAUUUUAGGAAAAAAUUAAUUGAAUUGGGAUAUAAAUUAACUAUUAAUUUAAAUACUAAAUAUUAAAUUAGAGUUUAGGGUAUUAAGGUUAAUUGAUUAAAUUAGGGAUUGAUUUAGGGUUUAGGGUUAAUUGAUACAUAAUAGUUUAAACAUAUUAUUUUAAUAUUUUAUUUCUUAUAAUAUUUUAGUAAAAAACCCUUAAAUAACUCUUAACGUGUAAACAAUAAGUUGUAAUUCGAUUACUUCAGCGUUUAGGUUUUUUUCCCUUAUCAAUGGCUUAGAUCAUUUUAUUUUUGAUCCACCGGCUAAGUUUCUUUUACUUUGUAACAAGCUCAUUUCUGUUUUUUUUUAAUUAUUAAUUUUCAAUAUACAUACACAAAAAAAAAAUUCUCAAAGAUAACAUGAUUGCAGCAUAUAUACAUACUGGCGCUAUGCUAAGUUCAAGGUUUCGAGAAAAAAUAAUUGAAUUAGGAUUUAGGAUUUUAGGGUUAAUUCAUUAAAUUAACUAUUAAUUUUAAAUACUAAAUAUUAAAUUAGAGUUUAGGGUAUUAGGGUUAAUUCAUUAAAUUACGGUUUAGGUUUUUCAAAUAAAUUUAUGUUUAGGGUAUCAGAAAAACAUAUAAGCAAUAUAAUUUUUUUUGUCUUAGGGUUUAAGGUUUAGGGUUUCUACAAGAAUAAUUCUGAUUAUACGUUUCUGAACAAAUAGUGUCGAAAAAAGCUUUAAGUGCACUGUUAGCAAAAAUUUCUGGAAAAAGCUCCCACAUGGACGCUCUUUUGUUACAGUAGUUCGUAGAAAAAUAAUUCUGAGUAGACGUUUCUGAACAAAUAGUGUCGAAAACGCAUCAAGCAGGAUGCACUGUCAACAAAAUUUCUGGAAAAAGCUUCCACGUGGACGCUCUUUUACUACAGUAGUUCGUAGAAAAAUAAUUCUGAGUAAACGUUUCUGAACAAAUAGUGUCGAAAACGCUUCAAGCAGGAUACAUUGUCAGCAAAAUUUUAGAAAAAAGCUCCCACAUGGACACUCUUUUGCUACAGUAGUUCGUAGAAAAAUGAGGCUAUAAAUGAGCCAAAUUUUAUUCUCAGGUUGCAUAACUUACAACAAAAAAAAUUAGAGAGGUUAAGAAGAAAAGAAAUUGAAGAUGAGUGAACGUAUUAGUGCUAUUAUUUACUAUGAUGGUGAGGUCUGUAACACCGAGAACGGUGUUGUUUUUCUAUCAGAGAACACAACGAGACUGGUUUUUAACCAGAACAUAGAUUUGACAGAACUUCGUAAAAGAAUUAGGCGUAAAAUCUUCAGAACGACACCAAUGAAAGUUUUGUCUAUUAAGUAUCAAUUUUGUGGUUCAGUUGAUCCUGUGACAUAUGACUCAUUCGACAUCAAAGACGCUCGUAGCUUGGAGGCAAUGGUGCAGACUCAUCUCGCUAGUGGAUCACUUUAUCUUGAGUUAUAUGUAUAAUUUUCAUCGUCAAAUGAUUCAUUUGCAGCUUCAAUAUUUACUGCUGGUCGAGAGGAAUACACGACCCCGUUCGACACUCCGUUAGUAGGUGGCAAAACACGGAAGCGUCUGUGUUUAGUAGCAGCAUGGAAUAUCCAACCCCUGUACGACACUCCGUUAGUGGAUGGGACAUGCACCUCAGUGGGUCGAUGUUUGAUGCUGGAAAUAUGUACUAGGGAAUGACAUCAACUUCUAGUGGUUGGCAAUCCACAUCUGUUUGGAGACAUUGUGAAACAUCCAUAAGGAGGGAUGAUAUACUCCCUACGAUGUCCACCGACGAGGGGACCUUCUACGUUGUACAUGAUGAUGGGUCAGAUAAUGAGUCUGAUGUGGAUCCACCUCGAGAGGCCGGUCUCGAUGGUGCAAAAGUUGCAUUAUUUUCUGAACCAGAGCUUGUUCCAACCAUACCUGAAGAUGUUGAAGGGGGUUCAGAUAAUGAAGAAGAAGAUCUACGAUUUAGGGCGUACUCGCCUCCAACCUACAUGCAUAAUGUCGAUCUAUCUCAAGAUGAUGUGUCGGAGCUUCCAGAUCUACCACACAGAAGGCGUGACCAUCCAAGUUCCUUAUUAGAUUCAGGUGAAUUGGAAGUUGGUAAGGAUUUUUCCAAUAAAGAUAGUUUUCUUGGUACAUUAAAACAACAUAGCAUCACGAACGGGGUUAACUAUAACGUGGUUAAAUCCAAAUUCAAUAAGUUUGAGGCCAAGUGUGCAGUGCAAGACGGUACAUGUUCAUGGAAAAUCAUGGUCUCGUUGAGGAAAAAGACAGGCUUGUGGGAGAUAAAAAAGUACAAAAAUCCACAUACAUGUGUUGCCGGUAUAGUAUCACUAACUGUUUAGAGUUUUUCAAUAGUACUGUUAUUACGUACUGUUGCAUUUUUUAACGUAUUUCGUUGACAGGUGUUUCAGAAGAUCAUUCCAAGAUGAAUUCAGAUAUGUUAGCUACCUUAAUACCACUGACGGUGAAGGCCGAUCCUAGAACUUUAGUGCCGGUCUUAAUUGCCAAUAUUCGUAGCCAGUUGAAGUACGCCUUUUUAUCGCAAGGCUUGGAUAGCUAAGCAGAAGGCGUUGGAAAAGAUUCAUGGUGGGUGGCAUUUCAUAUAAUGAAGUGUGGCAUUGGUGUCAGGUGCUAGAGAGAUAUGUCUUAGGUUGCGUAACAGACCUUGAAACGGAACCUGCGUACUACAACAACCGAUUGCUCGGUGGAUACCAAGUAUUUAAGCGUCUGUUUUAGAGCUUUAAGCAAUGUCGAAACGCAUUUCUAUAUUGCAAGCCAUUGGUACAAAUUGAUGGUACCUUUAUGUACGGUUGAUAUACCCAUUGACUAUUGCUAACUGUGACACAGAAUGGCAGUAGAAGAAUCAUUCCAAUUAUGUUUGCAAUAACACUGGGGAAGUCAGCUGAUGACUGGAAGUUCUUUCUUUCUAGGUUAAGGAGGCAUGUCUGCCUCCAACCUAAUAUCUGCGUCAUAUCAGAUCGGGGCACCAGAAUACUAGCUGUAAUUGAGCGACAGGGAAGCCUGUGGCAUCGCACACACUAUCGGUAUUGCCUAAGGCACGUUGCAUCCAACUACUACGAGCAAUUUCGAUUUACAAAUGAAAAACGGCAAGUGACCAAUAUGGGUAUUUAAUAUCUAUUAAUGUAAUUUCGUUUGAAAUAUUGAAUUUAUUUUAAAUGGAAAAGUGGUAUGUCAUUUUCGCUAUCAACUUAUAUUGGCAGAGUAUGAGAUAAGUAAUGACCAUUUUCAUGAGAUGUUAGCGGUUUUGCAUUCAGUUAACGAAGAAGGCGCAGACUACCUCUGCAACAUACCUUUCGAACAGUAGACACAAGCAUACGAUGACAGUCUAUGAUAUAGUCAUAUGACCUCAAACCUAGCUGAAUGCAUAAAUUCUGUUCUAAAAGGAACACAUCAUUUGUCGAUAACAUCAGUUGUUUGAGAGACAUAUUUUUGUUUAGUGGCACUAUUUCUGAAGAGAGCAGCGAGUUAUAAAGGCCAAAUGCAAAGAGGUCGUGUAUGGUGCGCAAAGGUAUUGCAAGAAAUUAACAAGGCAAAGGCAUGGGCGAACACCAUGCACACAGUCUAUCACGAUCAAGACAAUCUAUGGUUUCGUGUGACGGAGUUUGAUAGACCGCACGAAUGUAUUAUUGGCGGGCAAUAUCAUAUACACUUGAGAAAUAAGACUUGCGACUGUGGGAGGUUUAACGCACUUCGUUAUCCUUGCGCUCAUAUAAUUGCAGCUUGCCAGAAUCUCCGUCUAGACCUCAUGAGCUAUGUCGACAGAGUGUACAAACUAGAAACCAUUUACAACGUGUGGAGACACGUAUUCUCACCUAUCCCAGAUGAAUGUAAGUGGCCGCCUGUAUCGCUUGCUCCGUUUAAGUUAUUACUGAAUAGGGAAUUGCAUCACAAACCAAAGAGUCGACUUUGUUCAACUAGAAUACGUACCAAUAUAGAUAUCUGAGAAAUAACCAAUCAUCAGAAGUUGUGCAGAUGGUGUAGAAACUCAGGGCCAUACAAGUAGAUCAUGUCCAAAUCAAAAUAGUUGAUAGUUGUCGUAAAAAACUAUGUUGUAUUAUUUAUAUUUUAUUAAAUAAAACUAUGUUGUAUUACAAUUAUCUUAUUCAAAAGAAAUUUUAUUUUUAUUAAAUGAAACAAUAUAAAAUUUUUUGUACAAAUAUAUUAAAAAAAAAUCAAUAUCUGUGACGGUCGGAAUCAAUGCCACAUAGGGGUUGUCGACGGGUCCGUGUUGGAUUCCUCCUUCGAUCAACUUCCGGUGGGGUUGUGGUUCUUCUGGUAGUGGAUUUGGUUAUGGGUGUUGGGAGGGUGACCCACCUUGAUAGAAUAAUGACUAUGGCGGUGUUUGCAUCAUCCAUGGCAGAGGUGCUUGAAUCCCGUAAAGUGAUAGAGAUUGGUAGAAAGAAGAGCUCCCCGAUGGUGCCUCGUGCGAUCCCUCAUGUGACGGUGACCUAUAGAUCCGAGGUUGACUCGGAAUAAUCAGGAACGGAGAUGAACCGGCCAUGGAUUCCAACCUGUCAUAGGACUAGGAAAAGGAAACAUAUAAGGGAUAGGAUAACCACCUGGCAUAAUCUAAAAAGGCUGUGAUGUGGGUGUCAUCGAUUGAACUGUUAGGCCUGGUGAUUGUGUAGGUGUUGUUGAUGGGCUUGCGUCGUCGUCCCUUCUUCUUGGAUUUUCACUUUCGCAAUCCCUGAUAAUGACACCAACAACUUGACCACUUCAACGGUGCAAACGUUUAGAGCAAAAUCGUGCAAAUAAUAUACAUAUAUAAUUAAGUGCGGUAUCUGUAAGCAAACAAGUCAGAUUAUAAUAUAGUUUAGUGUUACAAUGGAACACUAAUAAAUAUUCUGAGGAUUGUACCCAAGGGAUUGCAGAUUGGAGAAAUUAUUAUUAAAUUAAUUACAAAAAAUAAUUACUAAUCUAAUCAAGUUACAAAUUAGUAGUGUGAAUCCAAUUUAAAGUAUUAAUUAAACUCAUUAAAUUAAUUAACCUAAUUGAAUUUCUUAUUUCUAGUGUCAAUGAUGCGAGCUCUGGGCCUAUUAUCGUUUAAAUCCCUAAUUAUCAAUUAAAUCACUAAUUACCUUCAACUGAGUUAUUUAUUGCCCUUAGCUAAGGAUUGCCAUCUAAGUCACUCUUUCGGUCUCUUCCUACACAUACUGAAUACCCUUUCAGUCUCACCAUUUGACACAAGUUAUACUCGACAGAAUAUCCUCUCGGUCUCACCUGUCUCGAUAUUUUACUAAGGGUGUCACUCCCUAAUCUAAGUCACCUGUCUCGAUUUUGUGAGCUUCUCAUUAAUGGCUCUCUAGAGUUUCCCAAUAAUAACUCGCUUGAACCUUUUCGAUAUUGGCUCACAUGAGUUUCCCGAUUACGGUUAUUAUGAGCUUCUCGUUACAUGGCUCAUAUGAGCUUCUUGUUAUAUGGCUCAAAAGAGCUUCCCGUUUAUAUGCUCGUAUAAGCAUCCUGAAUAUGAAUUAAUGGAUUUCAGAUUUGUACACUUCGUGUGUACUACCUGGAUAUCCAUCGAUAUUUUAAAUGAUUUAACGGGCAAAAUCCUUAUACGAAAAAAAAUGAAUUAAAAUGAACCGUUACCUGUAUAUACACGAAAUGCAAGGAAAUUUGAUAUUGAUGAGUUCAUAAGCAAUUCUUGAUAUUCAUGUCAAAUGAUUGACUAACAUGUUUGGUGAAGUGGCGUGUUUAGGCUAUUAGCCUAAUUGCAUGGAUGCAUUUUGUAUGUUUAUUUUAAUGAAAAUGAAUGGUAAGUUAAUUUCUUGUUAUACUAACUUACUAAGCAUUAAAUGCUUACUCUGUUUUAUUUUCUCUGUUUUAUAGUAAAUCAAAAGCUUGUAAAGGUUGGAAGCCGGUCGGAGCAACAUCACACUAUCCUUCAGUUCGUUUCAGUAUAAAAAGAAAUAUUUCUUUUGGGUAUGAUGGCAUGUAUAAGCUAAGUUUGGCCAAAUGAUGGCAUGAAUGUGUUUGGUUGUGAUUUUCCAAUGGUUUUGCUUAUGUUGAAUAUAUUUUGAUGUAAAUAUAUAUGUGUGUGAUUUUAUUAUGCUUGAUAUGUGUUUGGUGUGGUUGAAUAAUAUGUAGUUUAUAAGCAUGCAGUUGAAAAGAUUGAAAUAGUAUGUUUGGUAUAAGUAAGAAAAUAUGUGUUUUGAUCAUUAUGGUAAAUGUGAAUGCUAAGGUGUAUGUGAUAAAAUGACUUGUCUAAGACUUGAUUUUGGCUUGAUUUGAAUGAUUGAUAUUGCCUUGUGAAUGUAUCAAAGUGUUGAUGUAAGUGGAAGACAACUUGGGUGAGAAAUAUGGCUUGGAAAAUAGCCUAUUUUUGUCCACACGGGUAGAGACACGGGCAUAUGUCUCAACCGUGUGUGACACACGGCCUAGUACAUGGGCGUGUGGAUUGGCCAUGUGUCUCCUGCAUCUUAAAAAUUUAGAAAUAGAAUGCUCAAAAUUAUUCAUACGGCCUAGCACACGGGCAUGUGGCUUGGCUAUGUGAUCCAAGUCAGAGAAUUACACAGGCACGAACACUGGCUGGGAUACGACCGUGUGCCCUACUUCGAAUGCCCACACGGGCGUGGCUUCCCUGCACCUAGUGAAAAUUUUGAAAUUUCACGAAAAAUUCUCUGAGCACCCAGUUUAGUCCCGACUUAUUUCUAAUGCAUAUUUUGGGCCUCGAGGGCUUAUGUAAGGGUCAAAAUGGUUGAGUAUGAUUGAUUUCUGGUAUGGAUGUUAAAUGAUAUGAAAUAACUGUAUUUGAUCUGUAAAUUUUAGUAAUGCUCCGUAACUCUGUUCUGGCGAUGGAUAUGGGUUAGGGGUGUUACACGGAUCAUCCCGGUUCUAAAAAAGGCUUCUAUUUUAAUUUGUUUUAAUUUUAAUUUUAUUUAUUUUUCAUUUGUUCGUUUUCUAUUUGAUUUUGAGUCUAUAAUUAUGUAUUUUAUUUACAAUGGUUACUGAGCUUGGAGAGGUUAUUAUUUUGAAAAGCCUUAGGAGUGAUUUGAAGUGAUUAUACAUAAAUUGAGGAGUCCAAUAUGACCCGAAAAGACGAAUUUUGAACCUUCUAAUGCGUGUCACGAUACAGGUUCCUUUGUGUUGCGACAUAGAACUUCGACACAAGUUGUGUUGCGACAUACAGGGGUUGUAUCGUGACACGAUAUCGGGUUUUGCAACUUUUUUCAGCCCGUUCUCUGCGUAGCCGUCAUCUCUUUUAAAUACCUCACUUCUUGUUAGCCCCAAUCACUUUUCUUAAGCAUAUUUUGGAAACCUAAAAAACCUAUUACAACUGCCACACCUCUCUUCAUCUUUCGUCAAAUUUUUAAGACUUCAACUUCGAUUCUUCUAUCUAUCUUCUCUUUCUUUGUUAUUUCUUUAUCUCUUUUUGUUCUUUUCCUCUUUUUUGCAAGUUAAAAGCAUCCCAUUAGGAUCGACGAACGUCCCGAUACGUGCAAGAUCAUUACGUAACAAGGUUAAUUGUUCUAGUCUUGUUCUAUGUUAUAAGUGGUGUUUGAGUAAUUAGCUCAUUAGAUCUUUUAAUUAAAAUUGUUCAAUGGUACCACGAAAAGCACAAUGCACCAACGAGGCAUCGAUGGAAAGCUAUGCCGGCCGCUUCCACAGCGAAUCAAUGGUGCAAUAUUACUUAGAAAUGGAUGAACGUAUGUUUAUCCAAGAACGGGGGUUCGAUCCCUCGUUAACCAAGUGUGAAGCUACUUGGGAGUUGGUUAUUUGCCCAAGCCCGCACUUAUUUGUAAAUAACUAACCCUACCCAUAUUAUUUUUAUUUAUUUAAAAUUUAAAAUUUAAAAUUUAUAUAAUUUUUAAUUUAAUAUUUAAUAAUUAUAUAUAUUUUUAUUUAUUUAAAAUUUUAUAUAUAUUCAUCUUAAGCUUUUUUAAUGUUUACAUUAUAGUACUAUUAUAUAUAAAAAUAAAAAAAUAUACAACAUUGUAAACUUUAAGAAAAUGGAUCAGGACUCGAGCCUCGA